AUUCUAAUAUUUUUUUUCUUUUCUUUUCUUGAUAUGUUAUUUCCUUUGCUGAUCCUUCUCUUCUUCAUAUGAACAGGCCCCCAGCUAGAUUGACGAGAAAGUUUAUUUUGCACAUGGUCUUUUCUGGUUUUGUCCUUGUAGCAAGAAGUACAUUUUUAUAACAAUAUCAACUUUGCUCUGGUGUGUGCAAUGAUUUCAUUCAGAUACAGACCUUUUGGAAAUUGUGGUUUUCUUUUGUAUUUUUGUCCUAAUAUGGAAUGUUCUAUUGCUGGAUUGAAUUACUCUCUCAGCAUUUUUAUUUUGACAUAUUAUAAUGCUCAGUUUGUUUACAGGCUGCUGAAUACUGUCGGGGGAAGGAAUCAGUGCUGAGGUGAUCAGCAUUCGAUCAGUUAGGCCACUGGAUAGAGCUGCGAUAAAAGCAUAUGUUACGAAAAUAAAUAGGUUGGUGAUUCUUGAAGAAGGCUCCCCCCAACAUCGUGUUGGUGCUGAGAUAUGGUUUUCUCUCUCUCUCUCUCCACACACAUCCCAACCCUCUUCCAAUUAUUCAUUCAAAUUAUUGUACAGAAUCUACAAUUAUAAGAAAGAAGAAUUUGAUAAAUUAGAGAGAGAUAUGCUUUCAUAAAUUGCUCACCCCUGAAGGUUACAAAUUCAAGUGCUGGGUUCGAAGGAUGAAGCAAAUCCCAAGUCACAUGUUAAUAUAUCUUGAUGCACAUUUGUAUUUACUUUGCUUCAGGUUCGCAUGCAGUGACGGAGAUUCAUCGGCUCGCCUCCAUUUUCUUGGUGAACCCACAUUUCCCUCUAAGGUACAUUCUGAAGGAGAAGAUUGCUGGUUGAGAAGGCCAUUUAUCUGAUAUUAGUUUAUUGAAGAAAUUGCCCAUGAUGUAUUUUCAGUACAUUAGGAUUUUUGUAGUCGCAUGGUUCUGAUAGGAAGAUACCGUUUCUACUAGGUCAACAAUCUCCCCUUCAAUAAUAUUUGAUUUACAUUUUGUAUGCCAUUCAUCGAAUCAAUGUGGAUUACAAUGACCACUCA